rnacentral:rRNA from 1 species
AUGAUGUUAAUACGUCACAAUUUACAGAAUGCUCUUUUAGUACUUAAUAUGAUUGACUGCUUCAAUCUUGCGAAGGAAUGCCAUGACAAGCGUUCACUUUGCAGGCACAAUGAACAAUCACUCUAUUUGUUAUGCUCAUAUGUAGAGAUCUUUUUUCCAAGGAAAAAGCUAGAAACUACACCAGUUCUUCUAUCGAAGGUGAUUACGCCGGUUCGAGCCUCCGGGUGUCUCAGUCCUUUGUCAAUCUACCAACGGAACAACACUGAGCCUCUAUGGAUCUCAAGAACAACCUCCCGUCCUACAAGCAAUUUGACAGGUACAAAUUAA